AUAUGGUUGCCAAGGUUGCUGGACUGUUUUGCUAGUUCUUUGGAAACAAGUAUCCUUAUAUGAUCUUAUGUGCUUCCAAACUGGUAUUGGACUGUUUUGUUGAGGGGGAUGUUGUUUCACGUUUCCCCUACGUUUUGAGCUAUUUUGUGACUAUGUUAAGGUUUAUUUGAUGUAUAUAUAUGUUGGGAGCAUCUGGUUCAAAGUUGGGACAAGUAUGAAUUGUUAACGACGAAAUGUAGGGAGACGACGAGAUGUUGUGCUUCUUAGUUGAGCGUUUUGUAAAAUGGUUAUGUGUUGUAGUUAUGGACUGUUGCCAGCAUGUUAUAGAACUAAUAUAGGCUGUAUACAUCAUGUAUAUGAUAAUCUAUGCUGGUUGAAUACAGUUAGAAUUGAGAAAGUCGGAAUAACACCAUUGAGUUGAUGGUUAUACGUUUGUUGCCAAAGUGUUGUGUCUUGUGAGAUUGGGCUGUCCAGAUGCAUUGAUUAGCUGCUAAUACUAGCUUUAAAACAUGAUAUUGUAGAUAAAUAGUUGGAAGAAAAGAAGUCAUUUCGACGUAAAAACAAGUUGAUAUGUCGAGGUAUGUAAGGCUAUUCGAUCUCUUAUUAUUUGGCAUGGAAUCCAAAGUCUUCAUUGGCACAUAGAGAUCUUUACAAACUUUGACAUAACCACUCCACUCUUUAACAUGUACUUGUGUGUCCAGAUUCGAGCAUUGUCACUGCUGCAUACAUACAUUGGGUACCAUGACAUAUGAGUCUUCUUUUUAGCUAAAUAAAGUUCAUACGUUGUUUAUGUCCUACAUGUUUCACUAAUUGUACAACCCACUCUUUUCAUUAUGAUAUGAUGUUACAUGGACACAUACUUGUCAUUUGUCAUGCUUAUAGUCUUAUAGCUCAAAUGUUACGACCACCAAAGAUUCAUCUCAAAAGUAAUAAGAAGAUAUAUGUAUACAGUUGCUUCUGUUGGGUGGUAUCCCAGGGGUGAAAGAAUCACCUAGCAUGGGUCAAUCCCAGUAUUACAGGGGGUAUCCCAGGGGUGAAAGGAAAGCCUAGCAUGGGUCGAUCCUGAUAUAGAAUUACCACUGAUCAGCUGGUCAUUUGUAUUACAUGCUGUGCACAGAUUAUUCAAGUAAUAAGAGUAAAGUAACAUAAUUGUUAUAAGAUACAUGACUCCACAAUAUUCAUAAAGGUGGUCUUUUACCCUACAGCAGUACAUGGUUUCAUUUGAGUUUUUAUCUCAUAUAUAGUACAUGUUGCCUUACAUAUUCAGUACAUUAUUUCGUACUGACGUCCCUCUUGGGGGACCUGCAUUCCAUGCUGCAGGUACAGAAGCUAAUAAACCUCCCUAGUAAGAGUACAGGAUAUCAACCGCAGUCACUGAGCUCCAGGUUGCUUCGGGGCUUUGAGUCUUAUCAUAUCUUUUUGCAUUGUAUAGUAUCUUAUCAUGAGGCGGGGCCUGUCCCGACCCUUAUAAGAUAACGUUUCUUGUCUAGAGGCUUUGUAGACUACGUAAAGUAUAGUAUGGUCAUGUAUCGUACCGUAGACAUUGUGGCUCCAACGGCCUAGUCAUAUAAUAUCUUUUGGCUUGCUAGUCCUAUUUAUCUUUUGAGGGCAUGUUUAGUAUGAAAGUAACUUAUAAUGUUCAUAGGUAAUGUAUCGCUACAGGUUGGUUCUCCCGAGCCUUACCGGCAACGGGUGCCAGUCCGCCUUAAUAGGAUUUGGGGCGUGACAAUACUGAUCCAACAGAUAACUCAUUUUGCAAAAGAUGAGUGAUCUAUUUUAGUAGAUAAGUGAUAUGUUUUUAUUAUUUCUAAUGGAUUACUUAUUUUCUGCAACAGGUUGGUUAUAGGUUGCAACAGAUAAACUACAUGGUGCAACAGAUGAGUGAUCUAUUUUUAUUAUUUUCAAAGGAUUGCUCAUCUGCUGUAACAGGUAGGUUAUAAGUUGCAACAGAAAACCUACUUGGUACAACCGAUGAGUGAUCUAUUUUUAUUAUUUUCAAAGGAUUGCUCAUCUGCUGUAACAGGUAGGUUAUAAGUUGCAACAGAAAACCUACUUGGUACAACCGAUGAGUGAUCUAUUUUUAUUAUUUUCAAAGGAUUGCUCAUCUGCUGUAACAGGUAGGUUAUAAGUUGCAACAGAAAACCUACUUGGUACAACCGAUGAGUGAUCUAUUUUUAUUAUUUUCAAAGGAUUGCUCAUCUGCUGUAACAGGUAGGUUAUAAGUUGCAACAGAAAACCUACUUGGUACAACCGAUGAGUGAUCUAUUUUUAUUAUUUUCAAAGGAUUGCUCAUCUGCUGUAACAGGUAGGUUAUAAGUUGCAACAGAAAACCUACUUGGUACAACCGAUGAGUGAUCUAUUUUUAUUAUUUUCAAAGGAUUGCUCAUCUGCUGUAACAGGUAGGUUAUAAGUUGCAACAGAAAACCUACUUGGUACAACCGAUGAGUGAUCUAUUUUUAUUAUUUUCAAAGGAUUGCUCAUCUGCUGUAACAGGUAGGUUAUAAGUUGCAACAGAAAACCUACUUGGUACAACCGAUGAGUGAUCUAUUUUUAUUAUUUUCAAAGGAUUGCUCAUCUGCUGUAACAGGUAGGUUAUAAGUUGCAACAGAAAACCUACUUGGUACAACCGAUGAGUGAUCUAUUUUUAUUAUUUUCAAAGGAUUGCUCAUCUGCUGUAACAGGUAGGUUAUAAGUUGCAACAGAAAACCUACUUGGUACAACCGAUGAGUGAUCUAUUUUUAUUAUUUUCAAAGGAUUGCUCAUCUGCUGUAACAGGUAGGUUAUAAGUUGCAACAGAAAACCUACUUGGUACAACCGAUGAGUGAUCUAUUUUUAUUAUUUUCAAAGGAUUGCUCAUCUGCUGUAACAGGUAGGUUAUAAGUUGCAACAGAAAACCUACUUGGUACAACCGAUGAGUGAUCUAUUUUUAUUAUUUUCAAAGGAUUGCUCAUCUGCUGUAACAGGUAGGUUAUAAGUUGCAACAGAAAACCUACUUGGUACAACCGAUGAGUGAUCUAUUUUUAUUAUUUUCAAAGGAUUGCUCAUCUGCUGUAACAGGUAGGUUAUAAGUUGCAACAGAAAACCUACUUGGUACAACCGAUGAGUGAUCUAUUUUUAUUAUUUUCAAAGGAUUGCUCAUCUGCUGUAACAGGUAGGUUAUAAGUUGCAACAGAAAACCUACUUGGUACAACCGAUGAGUGAUCUAUUUUUAUUAUUUUCAAAGGAUUGCUCAUCUGCUGUAACAGGUAGGUUAUAAGUUGCAACAGAAAACCUACUUGGUACAACCGAUGAGUGAUCUAUUUUUAUUAUUUUCAAAGGAUUGCUCAUCUGCUGUAACAGGUAGGUUAUAAGUUGCAACAGAAAACCUACUUGGUACAACCGAUGAGUGAUCUAUUUUUAUUAUUUUCAAAGGAUUGCUCAUCUGCUGUAACAGGUAGGUUAUAAGUUGCAACAGAAAACCUACUUGGUACAACCGAUGAGUGAUCUAUUUUUAUUAUUUUCAAAGGAUUGCUCAUCUGCUGUAACAGGUAGGUUAUAAGUUGCAACAGAAAACCUACUUGGUACAACCGAUGAGUGAUCUAUUUUUAUUAUUUUCAAAGGAUUGCUCAUCUGCUGUAACAGGUAGGUUAUAAGUUGCAACAGAAAACCUACUUGGUACAACCGAUGAGUGAUCUAUUUUUAUUAUUUUCAAAGGAUUGCUCAUCUGCUGUAACAGGUAGGUUAUAAGUUGCAACAGAAAACCUACUUGGUACAACCGAUGAGUGAUCUAUUUUUAUUAUUUUCAAAGGAUUGCUCAUCUGCUGUAACAGGUAGGUUAUAAGUUGCAACAGAAAACCUACUUGGUACAACCGAUGAGUGAUCUAUUUUUAUUAUUUUCAAAGGAUUGCUCAUCUGCUGUAACAGGUAGGUUAUAAGUUGCAACAGAAAACCUACUUGGUACAACCGAUGAGUGAUCUAUUUUUAUUAUUUUCAAAGGAUUGCUCAUCUGCUGUAACAGGUAGGUUAUAAGUUGCAACAGAAAACCUACUUGGUACAACCGAUGAGUGAUCUAUUUUUAUUAUUUUCAAAGGAUUGCUCAUCUGCUGUAACAGGUAGGUUAUAAGUUGCAACAGAAAACCUACUUGGUACAACCGAUGAGUGAUCUAUUUUUAUUAUUUUCAAAGGAUUGCUCAUCUGCUGUAACAGGUAGGUUAUAAGUUGCAACAGAAAACCUACUUGGUACAACCGAUGAGUGAUCUAUUUUUAUUAUUUUCAAAGGAUUGCUCAUCUGCUGUAACAGGUAGGUUAUAAGUUGCAACAGAAAACCUACUUGGUACAACCGAUGAGUGAUCUAUUUUUAUUAUUUUCAAAGGAUUGCUCAUCUGCUGUAACAGGUAGGUUAUAAGUUGCAACAGAAAACCUACUUGGUACAACCGAUGAGUGAUCUAUUUUUAUUAUUUUCAAAGGAUUGCUCAUCUGCUGUAACAGGUAGGUUAUAAGUUGCAACAGAAAACCUACUUGGUACAACCGAUGAGUGAUCUAUUUUUAUUAUUUUCAAAGGAUUGCUCAUCUGCUGUAACAGGUAGGUUAUAAGUUGCAACAGAAAACCUACUUGGUACAACCGAUGAGUGAUCUAUUUUUAUUAUUUUCAAAGGAUUGCUCAUCUGCUGUAACAGGUAGGUUAUAAGUUGCAACAGAAAACCUACUUGGUACAACCGAUGAGUGAUCUAUUUUUAUUAUUUUCAAAGGAUUGCUCAUCUGCUGUAACAGGUAGGUUAUAAGUUGCAACAGAAAACCUACUUGGUACAACCGAUGAGUGAUCUAUUUUUAUUAUUUUCAAAGGAUUGCUCAUCUGCUGUAACAGGUAGGUUAUAAGUUGCAACAGAAAACCUACUUGGUACAACCGAUGAGUGAUCUAUUUUUAUUAUUUUCAAAGGAUUGCUCAUCUGCUGUAACAGGUAGGUUAUAAGUUGCAACAGAAAACCUACUUGGUACAACCGAUGAGUGAUCUAUUUUUAUUAUUUUCAAAGGAUUGCUCAUCUGCUGUAACAGGUAGGUUAUAAGUUGCAACAGAAAACCUACUUGGUACAACCGAUGAGUGAUCUAUUUUUAUUAUUUUCAAAGGAUUGCUCAUCUGCUGUAACAGGUAGGUUAUAAGUUGCAACAGAAAACCUACUUGGUACAACCGAUGAGUGAUCUAUUUUUAUUAUUUUCAAAGGAUUGCUCAUCUGCUGUAACAGGUAGGUUAUAAGUUGCAACAGAAAACCUACUUGGUACAACCGAUGAGUGAUCUAUUUUUAUUAUUUUCAAAGGAUUGCUCAUCUGCUGUAACAGGUAGGUUAUAAGUUGCAACAGAAAACCUACUUGGUACAACCGAUGAGUGAUCUAUUUUUAUUAUUUUCAAAGGAUUGCUCAUCUGCUGUAACAGGUAGGUUAUAAGUUGCAACAGAAAACCUACUUGGUACAACCGAUGAGUGAUCUAUUUUUAUUAUUUUCAAAGGAUUGCUCAUCUGCUGUAACAGGUAGGUUAUAAGUUGCAACAGAAAACCUACUUGGUACAACCGAUGAGUGAUCUAUUUUUAUUAUUUUCAAAGGAUUGCUCAUCUGCUGUAACAGGUAGGUUAUAAGUUGCAACAGAAAACCUACUUGGUACAACCGAUGAGUGAUCUAUUUUUAUUAUUUUCAAAGGAUUGCUCAUCUGCUGUAACAGGUAGGUUAUAAGUUGCAACAGAAAACCUACUUGGUACAACCGAUGAGUGAUCUAUUUUUAUUAUUUUCAAAGGAUUGCUCAUCUGCUGUAACAGGUAGGUUAUAAGUUGCAACAGAAAACCUACUUGGUACAACCGAUGAGUGAUCUAUUUUUAUUAUUUUCAAAGGAUUGCUCAUCUGCUGUAACAGGUAGGUUAUAAGUUGCAACAGAAAACCUACUUGGUACAACCGAUGAGUGAUCUAUUUUUAUUAUUUUCAAAGGAUUGCUCAUCUGCUGUAACAGGUAGGUUAUAAGUUGCAACAGAAAACCUACUUGGUACAACCGAUGAGUGAUCUAUUUUUAUUAUUUUCAAAGGAUUGCUCAUCUGCUGUAACAGGUAGGUUAUAAGUUGCAACAGAAAACCUACUUGGUACAACCGAUGAGUGAUCUAUUUUUAUUAUUUUCAAAGGAUUGCUCAUCUGCUGUAACAGGUAGGUUAUAAGUUGCAACAGAAAACCUACUUGGUACAACCGAUGAGUGAUCUAUUUUUAUUAUUUUCAAAGGAUUGCUCAUCUGCUGUAACAGGUAGGUUAUAAGUUGCAACAGAAAACCUACUUGGUACAACCGAUGAGUGAUCUAUUUUUAUUAUUUUCAAAGGAUUGCUCAUCUGCUGUAACAGGUAGGUUAUAAGUUGCAACAGAAAACCUACUUGGUACAACCGAUGAGUGAUCUAUUUUUAUUAUUUUCAAAGGAUUGCUCAUCUGCUGUAACAGGUAGGUUAUAAGUUGCAACAGAAAACCUACUUGGUACAACCGAUGAGUGAUCUAUUUUUAUUAUUUUCAAAGGAUUGCUCAUCUGCUGUAACAGGUAGGUUAUAAGUUGCAACAGAAAACCUACUUGGUACAACCGAUGAGUGAUCUAUUUUUAUUAUUUUCAAAGGAUUGCUCAUCUGCUGUAACAGGUAGGUUAUAAGUUGCAACAGAAAACCUACUUGGUACAACCGAUGAGUGAUCUAUUUUUAUUAUUUUCAAAGGAUUGCUCAUCUGCUGUAACAGGUAGGUUAUAAGUUGCAACAGAAAACCUACUUGGUACAACCGAUGAGUGAUCUAUUUUUAUUAUUUUCAAAGGAUUGCUCAUCUGCUGUAACAGGUAGGUUAUAAGUUGCAACAGAAAACCUACUUGGUACAACCGAUGAGUGAUCUAUUUUUAUUAUUUUCAAAGGAUUGCUCAUCUGCUGUAACAGGUAGGUUAUAAGUUGCAACAGAAAACCUACUUGGUACAACCGAUGAGUGAUCUAUUUUUAUUAUUUUCAAAGGAUUGCUCAUCUGCUGUAACAGGUAGGUUAUAAGUUGCAACAGAAAACCUACUUGGUACAACCGAUGAGUGAUCUAUUUUUAUUAUUUUCAAAGGAUUGCUCAUCUGCUGUAACAGGUAGGUUAUAAGUUGCAACAGAAAACCUACUUGGUACAACCGAUGAGUGAUCUAUUUUUAUUAUUUUCAAAGGAUUGCUCAUCUGCUGUAACAGGUAGGUUAUAAGUUGCAACAGAAAACCUACUUGGUACAACCGAUGAGUGAUCUAUUUUUAUUAUUUUCAAAGGAUUGCUCAUCUGCUGUAACAGGUAGGUUAUAAGUUGCAACAGAAAACCUACUUGGUACAACCGAUGAGUGAUCUAUUUUUAUUAUUUUCAAAGGAUUGCUCAUCUGCUGUAACAGGUAGGUUAUAAGUUGCAACAGAAAACCUACUUGGUACAACCGAUGAGUGAUCUAUUUUUAUUAUUUUCAAAGGAUUGCUCAUCUGCUGUAACAGGAAGAUUGAGGAAAUGGGCCACUAAAGCCCAUUGAUUUAGAGAUCCAAAAGGCCCAAGUGAAAGGGGAAAAUUAGUCAUUGACCAAUUUGAGUUAAUCAGCUGCAAAUAUAAGGAGAAAGUCGGUCGAAUGUCUCCUUAAAAAGGGACCAAAACCGAGCUCCCUAGGUUAAUCAACAAAAGACCAAAAAUUUCAGAUUUUCUCUCUAAGUUUCUCUUGGCAUUUCUUCACCUUGGAAGGCAACCAAAGGCUACUUUUUGAGUUCUAGAAUUAUACCUACACCUUGGGAGUUAAGGUAUGUAAAAAUAACCAUAUAUUUGAUACGAAUUUUGCAUGGAAAACAAGAUAAGUUGGCUGGUUCACUGUGCAGGAAUUUCUGGACAGCUUGUGUCGUGAAAGUUGUUGUUUGGUUUUCUUGGCUUUGGAACGAUUCUUACCCUGAUUUUUGACUUUAAUAUGAUAUAAAGUUGAGGUUAUUAACAUGUUAUAGUGUGUAUAUAGUUGCCAAGGUUGCUGGACUGUAUUGCCAGUUCUUUGGAAACAAGUAUCCUUAUAUGAUCUUAUGUGCUUCCAAAAUGGUAUUGGACUGUUUUGUUGAGGGGGCUGUUGUUUCACGUUUCCCCCUACGUUUUGAGCUAUUUUGUGACUAUGUUAAGAUUUAUUUGAUGUAUAUGUAUGUUGGGAGCAUCUGGUUCAAAGUUGGGACAAGUAUGAAUUGUUAACGACGAAAUGUAGGGAGACGACGAGAUGUUGUGCUUCUUAGUUGAGCAUUUAGUAAAAUGGUUAUGUGUUGUAGUUAUGGACUGUUGCCAG
rnacentral:lncRNA from 1 species